GAUGAAGAACGCAGCGAAAUGCGAUAAGUAGUGUGAAUUGCAGAAUUCAGUGAAUCAUCGAAUCUUUGAACGCACAUUGCGCCCUUUGGUAUUCCAAAGGGCAUGCCUGUUCGAGCGUCAUUUGUACCCUCAAGCUUUGCUUGGUGUUGGGCGUCUUGUCUCCAGUCCGCUGGAGACUCGCCUUAAAGUCAUUGGCAGCCGGCCUACUGGUUUCGGAGCGCAGCACAAGUCGCACUCUUUUCCAGCCAAGGUCAGUGUCCAACAAGCCUUUUUUCAACUUUUGACCUCGGAUCAGGUAGGGAUACCCGCUGAACUUAAGCAUAUCAAUAAGCGGAGGA
rnacentral:misc_RNA from 1 species